ACUGUGGAACAGGGAAAUAAAUGAUAAUGGCAAAAUGCUAAUGCUGCAAAUGAGCUGAAAAUGAUGAUGUAGCACUUGGAGCAUUCUGUUCUUGUGCUGAGGCCGGGCCUAUCGUUAGCUUGAUAUAUAAAUGUGCCUUUGAGAAGUCUUGCAGGCAUGUUUGUCUCUCAGCGAUAGAGAGAACUCAUUAGCAUAUGGAGCUUUCUCCGGUGACAAUUACCUGAGGAUUCAUGUGAACCUGCCUUGGCACAGCUAUUGCGGUGUAAUUGUCCUUAAGGGGGCAUUUUGACAAACAAGACAAACCCCUUAUUUUUAUCCAUCUGCAAUAGUAAAUUAAUUGAACAAUUAGUAGUAAUAGCUUGAGUGUACAUAACAAGGCAUCUUGCAUUCCAAAGUACUGUACUGACAAAAUAAGAGCAUUAAUGCUCUGCUAGUGAGAGAGGGAACAACCCUCUGCUCUAUUUCCAUGCAGAGGUAAGAGAAUGGCACAAGCAGAAAAAAUGGAAUGAAUUCACCAAAAGAGAUUGAUUUGGAAGCUAUAACUGGCCCCAUAUGUGGCUCUUGGAUGGCUACCAAGAAAGUAACCCCAUAUCCCAUUUGCUGAUUAUAGAAAGAUGGACAUCACCAGAUGGAUUAGACAUGACUUUAAAUCCAGCAAAAUAAUACAGACAAAAUGUAUAUCAGAGACAAUUUCUGUGCCUCUAUAUUUUAAGAUGGAAUAUUUAUGGAUUUGGGGGAGCUGGAUGGGAAGGAGAAAAUGAGGGUCAGGGAGAGAGUGGGCCUUCAUUUUCAUAUUAAAGGCUCGCUCUCCUCACAAGGAAGCCUAAUCAGACACUUUGAUUGCCAGUCACUAUAUGAUUGCCAGCAGUCACACACUGUGAUUGGAAUAGCACUUUAGGCCCGCAUAUUCUUUAGCAGGCCCUGUGUCAUGCCUGCUUCUAUCCUGCUGAUGGCACAUAAACACAGAACUGUUAACAAAUGCAAUUAGUAUCCUUCCCCAUCCUGCACAAACACUCCUAAGCAUUAGCAUCUGAACUUAUAGCACUCUGGAUUUGAUAAGUUUAGAAAGGAUAAUUUUCAAAUGAUUGAGUAAUAUUGCAAUAUUACUUUUUAACACAGAUUUAUUUAAGUGAAAUACCUGUGUCUUAUAAACAUUUGGCCAUUUUUUUUCUAAAAAAAAAGAGGGAGAUAAAAAUAUUAUUAGCACCCUCUUGGGAGUGUGGGAAUGAAUUCCUACGUACACAUACUGUGCUGCCAGAGUAAGGAGAAAUGGAGCUAGACUUCUGAAGAUACUUAUUUUAGGCAAAGACCCUUUGAUAGACUCUUCUAGAGGAGCCUUAGGAAAUUGUUAAUAUCUUCAACUUUAGGCAUAAAUUAACUUUGGGUUCUAUGAAUUCUUUAUUCUAUCUAACUGUUCUCUAACUCUAGUUGAUGUAACAUUUUCCAAACUAUCCAUUUGGCUUUUUUUUUGCCCAUCUAGAAAUAAUUUUUCUCCUUGCUUUAAAAAAAUGUGUUCAAUGAAUACUAACAUUUUCAGGAUUAAUGUAAUAAUUUUUCCCAAAAUACUGCUUCCACAAUGUCAUCUACCCAUAAUAAAACUCUCACUGUUUUCUGUUGCCUCCCAAAUAAAACUGAAAUGUGCCUUUCUGGAUUCCAAAACCUUACGUAGACUGGUGCCAAUUCGUCUUUCUAGAAUUUUGUUGCAGGUUUUUUUCAGGACACACACUUCAUUCUAAUACAACUGCUUAAUUACCAUGCCCAGAAAUUUCCACUUGUGUUCUGGCCUAUGUAUCUUUAACUCCUAUUGCUUACCACCAUUUAGACUCUUCACCUCCUUCUAAUACAGUUAUCUUAUAUAAAUAUCAUAUUCUUUUAAGUUUCCCUUAGCAAAUAGCCAUUCCUCUGUGGGAGGAAGAGUUCUCUUGUUCUGGGCAUGAAGCUCAAUAGCCAGGGAGCAAAAGGCUCAAAUGACCAUGGAGGUUUUUAGCAUUCUCAUGGUGUUUGGGAGAUAAAAAGUGGAGUUCAGAAUCCAUCAUAAAUGGAAUCUCUAGGAAACUAUCAUUAUUCAUAUAUGCUCAAAGUAGGGACAAUCUAGAAGUAGAGGGAGCUCUGCCAGGUGCAGACCAACCUCAAGUUAGUUCAUUAUCAGAUUAGAUUGAGAUAAUGCUGCCAGAAGACAGGAUGAGUCAUAUCUGGAGGAAAACAAACUUAUUCAGAACUUUUAUAAAAUUAGUUAAGCAGUCUUCAAUCAAUAAUUACCAGGCAUACUUUCGCAGCAACAUGGAUGGACCUAGACAUUAUCAUACUAAGUAAAAUAAGUCAGAGAGAUAUUAUAUGAUAUCACUUAUAUGUCGAAUAUAAAAAAUGAUACAAAUGGUCUUAUUUACAAUACAGAAACAGAGUCGCAGACUUCAAAAACAAACUUAUGGUUACAAAAGGGGAGAAGUAUGGGAGGGAUGGACUGGGAGUUUGGGAUUGGCAUAUGUGCACUACUGUAUAUGGAAUGUAUGGUCAAUAGGGAAAAUCUACUCAAUAUUCUGUGGUAACCCAUAUGAAAAAAUAAUAUGAAAAAGAAUGGAUAUGUGUAUAUGUAUAACUGAAACACUUUGCUAUGUAGCAAACAUUAACACAUCAGUGUAAAUCAAUUAUACUUCAAUACUUAAAAAUGGAAAUAAAACAAAAACAACAAAAAUAAUUACCAACCAUAUAAAAAAAAACUACAAGAUAAGACAUAGACAAUAGAAACAGACCCACAAGUGGCCUAGGUGUUGGAGUUAACUGACACAGCCUUAAAAAUAACUGUAAGUGAUGUAUUUGAUUAAAUAAAUGGAAGGGUCUUGAUUUCUCCCAGCUUUAUAUAAAAAGAAUAAAAAUUGGGAGUUCCUGUUGUGGUGCAGUGGAAAUGAAUCUGACUAGGAACCAUGAGGUUGUGGGUUUGAUCCCUGGCCUCACUCAGUGGGUUGGGGAUCCGGCAUUGAUGUGAGUUGUUGUGUAGGUCACAGAUGCGGCUCGGAUCUGGCAUUGCUGUGGCUGUGGUAUAGGCCAGCAGCUGUAGCUCCAAUUCUACCCCUAGCCUGGGAACCUCCAUAUGCUGUGGGUGUGGCCCU
rnacentral:lncRNA from 1 species